rnacentral:rRNA from 1 species
AUUGAACGCUGGCGGCAGGCCUAACACAUGCGAGUCGAGCGGAUGAAGGGAGCUUGCUCCUGGAUUCAGCGGCGGACGGGUGAGUAAUGCCUAGGAAUCUGCCUGGUAGUGGGGGAUAACGUCCGGAAACGGGCGCUAAUACCGCAUACGUCCUGAGGGAGAAAGUGGGGGAUCUUCGGACCUCACGCUAUCAGAUGAGCCUAGGUCGGAUUAGCUAGUUGGUGGGGUAAAGGCCUACCAAGGCGACGAUCCGUAACUGGUCUGAGAGGAUGAUCAGUCACACUGGAACUGAGACACGGUCCAGACUCCUACGGGAGGCAGCAGUGGGGAAUAUUGAACAAUGGGCGAAAGCCUGAUCCAGCCAUGCCGCGUGUGUGAAGAAGGUCUUCGGAUUGUAAAGCACUUUAAGUUGGGAGGAAGGGCAGUAAGUUAAUACCUUGCUGUUUUGACGUUACCAACAGAAUAAGCACCGGCUAACUUCGUG